UCCUGAAUGUUGAUUCAUUCCUUGAGAGCCAAAUGGACCAAGCCACCGAAAACCAAUGCAUCUUCCACCACUGAGAGACUUUACUGCUACUCUACUGCAGAGAUUCAUAUGUGUAAGUAGGUUUCAGGAGCCAUUAUAUUAUACUCAUAUCAAGGUAUAUGUUCAUACACUUGGUUUCUAUAUUCUGAAAGAUGAUUGAAACUGAAUAUGAUCAUAAUCAACGGAACCAAUAUAUGGGGGGAAAUAUGUGUGGAAACAUGCAACAUAAGUAAGUACACUGAUAAGGUCAAGGAUAGACAUAAUCUCUACCCAAAUAUUAUUGAUCUUUUACAACAAGAAUGAAAUUAAUUACUACUCAAUAAUUGCAUAUCAAAUAUGAAAAUAGCUUAGGUUAAUACUUCAAUCCGCACCUAGUAUCGUUAACGAUUUUGUUAACCACAACACUUAGGGAUGAGAAUAACGAACUUAAAAGGUAAUUUAUAUCGAGAAAGUGAGUAUUUAAUAUAUUGAAAAAUGAUUGAGUUAGUUUCCCAAAACAGAAGUUUAUCCUUGUUUAACUUGUUAUUCUCAUCCUUAACAAAAUCCGAUAACUAGGGAUUAUCACCGCCACAAUUAAUAAUUCCACUUCCGCCGGGACAUGACCUGGGCGCGUGGUCACGUAUCAGCGCCUGAGGAUGAAGCUCAUAUGGCCAUGACUGGUGAUGAAUUAAUGUUAAUGGCCUGGAAGCUACUUCAGAUUGAAAUGUAGCAAAUAUGGUGAGGAUGAUUAGCAAAAGGUGUGGAACUAUCAAGAGGAUCCUUGUGGAAGAUAAAGCCAUUUAUGUAGUUUUCUUUGGUGAAAUUAAACUCACUUGUUCUAAUUCUAAUAUAAUGAAUAUCGAGUUAUUAUUCUUUUCGAUAUUCCUUAGUUGGUAAGAGAUAGAACUAGAAUAUAAGCUUUG
rnacentral:lncRNA from 1 species